rnacentral:rRNA from 1 species
AUUGAACGCUGGCGGCAUGCCUUACACAUGCAAGUCGAACGGUAACAGGUCUUCGGAUGCUGACGAGUGGCGAACGGGUGAGUAAUACAUCGGAACGUGCCCGAGAGUGGGGGAUAACGAGGCGAAAGCUUUGCUAAUACCGCAUACGAUCUCAGGAUGAAAGCAGGGGACCGCAAGGCCUUGCGCUCACGGAGCGGCCGAUGGCAGAUUAGGUAGUUGGUGGGAUAAUAGCUUACCAAGCCGACGAUCUGUAGCUGGUUCGAGAGGACGACCGGCUACACUGGGACGGAGACACGGCCCAGACGCCUACGGGAGGCAGAAGUGGGGAAUUUUGGGCAAGGGGCGCAAGCCUGAACCAGCCAUGCCGCGUGCAGGAUGAAGGCCUUCGGGUUGUAAACUGCUUUUGUACGGAACGAAAAGACUCCUUCUAAUAAAGGGGGUCCAUGACGGUACCGUAAGAAUAAGCACCGGCUAACUACGUGCCAGCCGCCGCCGUAAUAC